rnacentral:rRNA from 1 species
CUUAGAGUUUGAUCAUGGCUCAGGACUAACGCUGGCGGCGUGCCUAACACAUGCAAGUCGAACGAGCUGUUAUGUAGUAGCAAUAUUGUGUAACAGCAAGUGGCGAACGGGUGAGUAACACGUAGGUAAUCUACCCUUUGAACGGGAACAACCCAGGGAAACUUGGGCUAAUGCCCGAUAAGACCACGUCUCGGGAGGGAUGGGGUUAAAGGCGGGGCGAAAGUCUCGCGUCGGAGGAUGAGCCUGCGGCCUAUCAGCUAGUUGGUAAGGUAAAGGCUUACCAAGGCGAAGACGGGUAGCCGGCCUGAGAGGGCGAUCGGCCACACUGGGACUGAGACACGGCCCAGACUCCUACGGGAGGCAGCAGUGAGGAAUUUUCCGCAAUGGGCGCAAGCCUGACGGAGCGACGCCGCGUGAGGGAUGACGGCCUUCGGGUUGUAAACCUCUUUUGUAAGGGAAAAAGGUUGAUGUGCUCAUACCAUAUCAAUUUGAUGGUACUUUAUGAGUAAGCCCCGGCUAACUACGUGCCAGCAGCCGCGGUAAUACGUAGGGGGCGAGCGUUGUCCGGAAUUACUGGGCGUAAAGGGCGUGUAGGCGGUUGGAUAAGUCCGGUGUGAAAUCCCCUUGCUCAACAAGGGAAUUGCGCUGGAAACUGUCUGACUGGAGUUCGGUAGGGGUCACUGGAAUCCCCGGUGUAACGGUGAAAUGUGUAGAUAUCGGGGGGAACACCUGUGGCGAAGGCGGGUGACUGGGCCGCAACUGACGCUGAGACGCGAAAGCGUGGGGAGCAAACAGGAUUAGAUACCCUGGUAGUCCACGCUGUAAACGAUGAA